GAGUUUGAUCAUGGCUCAGGAUGAACGCUGACAGAAUGCUUAACACAUGCAAGUCGACUCGAGUCUUCGGACUUGGGUGGCGCACGGGUGAGUAACGCGUAAAGAACUUGCCUCUUAGACCGGGACAACAUCUGGAAACGGAUGCUAAUACCGGAUAUUAUGGUUUUUUCGCAUGGAGGAAUCAUGAAAGCUAGAUGCGCUAAGAGAGAGCUUUGCGUCCCAUUAGCUAGUUGGUGAGGUAACGGCCCACCAAGGCAAUGAUGGGUAGCCGGCCUGAGAGGGUGAACGGCCACAAGGGGACUGAGACACGGCCCUUACUCCUACGGGAGGCAGCAGUGGGGAAUAUUGGACAAUGGACCACAAGUCUGAUCCAGCAAUUCUGUGUGCACGAUGACGUUUUUCGGAAUGUAAAGUGCUUUCAGUCGGGAAGAAGUCAGUGACG
rnacentral:rRNA from 1 species